CCAGUGAAAAGGUCACAUCGGCACCUUUGCCUUCUCCUCUACCCUCCCCAUCUUCACGCCCAACCCCCUUGCACACCUCCCGCUUCACCCGUGCCACCCGUGACCCCCCCACCCUGAUUCGUCCUCUUCUCCUCGACUGCAGGGCGAUGGGACGUGGGUCGAGCAGCGGUUCCAUUACUGUCAACCCAGAUUGUCGAGGAGCGCAAGCAAAUCAGCCUAUGCCCGUCAUUGCUCUCCUUCGGGCCCUGCCCACGUCGGCGGCCUCGGACACGCCGGACGCGGCCUCAUCCGGAGUUCCAAACAGGGAGUUUGGGUUCCGAUGGGAGGAUAUCGGGAAGGAGCAGCUCACCGGGACGGUGGUCUUGCACGAGCGCCGCGUGUUCCUCUACUGCAAGGGCCCUGAGGAGCGCCGAGUCCGACCACCUCCCCCACCUCCUUGCUGCCGCCAUCAAUGCCCGCAAGCCCAACCUGAAGAAGAGAGAGCAGAGCUUUGCAUCGGACCUUUGCCUGCUGAUAUAUGGCCGCAACCAGCAGUAUCCAAGACAGGUGGCCGCCUUUUGUACCAUGUUCACAAGGAAUUGGUGCUCUGAAAUUCAAUAAAUUUUUGCAGCCCCUAUUUUAGUGUUCAGCCCUGGUAUAGUUGAAGAAUAAUAUGGAGAGAAGUCCCCCAUCAGCAUAUCUGAGCUUAGAUGAUUGAGCUAAAUGAAUAUUAUGGAGAUGAAACCUUUUAUCAGGUUGUUUGAGUUUAAGUUCAAAUUCUUCUCUGGUUCAAGGCUUCAAACUGCUCUUUUCUAUCAGUAUUGAAGGACGAUACAAGAUGUAGCUAAGGAGUUGUCUCUGAUGAUCAACAUGCUAUGCUAAAGUGUUUGCUUCAUCAUUGGGCUUCCAUUUGUCACAAUUGUUGCCUUCUUCUUCCCUCUUCAUUAAUACCAGAGUUUGUUUUGACUAAUUGUUUGUUCAUGUGUGUUUCGGUGUUACAAUGUGAUCUCCCGGUGAUUCCAAUUGCCAGAUUAUCAUCCCAAGUGUUGGUUUGGGCACAAUUUUUUUGUUGUAUAUACUUUAGUCAAUUGUCCAACUAUUGUUUUGUUUAUGACAUCAUAGUGCCACUAUAUUAUUAAUAUUUACAAAAUGUAAAUCAACUUGAUGAACGAGGUACCAUGAAUUAUAUGCUC